CAAACUACGGAGGAAGGAGCAUCCAAAUUAAAUGUGCCCAUCCUUUCUGUCUUUCCAUCAUUACUCUUGAGCAGGGGGCAAAAACAAACACGCAAAUCAAGAAUGGAGUGAUUCAUUCUUCUUCAGACAACUGCUGACAUUUUCUUAAAUCAUCCCUGCUUCGUUGCCAUCCCAAAGCAUCAUCAUAGAGGGGAACUGUAGAGAGAUUGGCGUCGUUCAGUGUGUGGACUAACACGGAAUCCCUUUGGAAAAUUAUAGGAGACAAAUAAAGGCCUGCUCAAAUGGAA
rnacentral:lncRNA from 1 species